AUAAAUAUGAGGGCAAAUAGAUCCCUCGUAUAUGACA
rnacentral:guide_RNA from 1 species